rnacentral:rRNA from 1 species
GACAGAGGGUGCAAACGUUGUUCGGAAUUACUGGUCGUAAAGCGCGUGUAGGCUGCUUCGCAAGUCGGAUGUGAAAGCCCUGGGCCCAACCCAGGAAGUGCAUUCGAAACUGCAGAGCUGGAGUCCUGGAGAGGAAGGCGGAAUUCUCGGUGUAGAGGUGAAAUUCGUAGAUAUCGAGAGGAACACCGGUGGCGAAGGCGGCCUUCUGGACAGUGACUGACGCUGAGACGCGAAAGCGUGGGGAGCAAACAGG